CCUACGGGAGGCAGCAGUGAGGAAUAUUGGUCAAUGGACGAGAGCCUGAACCAGCCAAGUAGCGUGAAGGAAGACUGCCCUAUGGGUUGUAAACCUCUUUUAUAUGGGAACAAAAUGCUCCACGCGUGGGAUUCCGUAUGUACCAGAUGAAUAAGGAUCGGCUAACUCCGUGCCAGCAGCCGCGGUAAUACGGAGGAUCCGAGCGUUAUCCGGAUUUAUUGGGUUUAAAGGGGGCGUAGGCGGAUAGUUAAGUCAGUUGUUAAAGUUUGGGGCUCAACCGUAAAAUUGCAGUUGAAACUGGCAGUCUUGAGUGCGGUAGAGGUAGGCGGAAUUCGUGGUGUAGCGGUGAAAUGCUUAGAUAUCACGAAGAACUCCGAUUGCGAAGGCAGCUCACUGGACUUCAACUGACACUGAGGCACGAAAGUGUGGGUAUCGAACAGGAUUAGAUACCCUUGUAGUC
rnacentral:rRNA from 1 species